UACAGAGGGUGCAAGCGUUGUUCGGAAUUAUUGGGCGUAAAGGGCGCGUAGGCGGGAUGGCAAGUCGGUCGUGAAAUCCCUCGGCUCAACCGAGGAACGUCGAUCGAUACUGCUGUUCUUGAGGAUUGCAGAGGAGACUGGAAUUCCCGGUGUAGCGGUGAAAUGUGUAGAGAUCGAGGAGGAACACCGGCGGCGGAAGG
rnacentral:rRNA from 1 species